UACGUAGGGGGCAAGCGUUGUCCGGAUUUAUUGGGCGUAAAGAGCGUGUAGGCGGCUUUACAGGUCCGUUGUGAAAACUCGAGGCUCAACCUCGAGACGCCGGUGGAAACCGUAAAGCUAGAGUCCGGAAGAGGAGAGUGGAAUUCCUGGUGUAGCGGUGAAAUGCGCAGAUAUCAGGAAGAACACCCGUGGCGAAGGCGGCUCUCUGGGACGGUACUGACGCUGAGACGCGAAAGCUAGGGGAGCAAACAGG
rnacentral:rRNA from 1 species